CAGCCCCUCGAGUGGUGGGGAUGAUUAUUUGGCCUAAGGCGUCCGUAGCCGGCCGGGUAAGUUUCCCGUUAAAUCCAACGUCUCAAGCGUUGGACUGCGGGAAAUACUGCCAGGCUAGAGAGUGGGAGAGGUCAGCGGUAUUCUGGGGGUAGGGGCGAAAUCCUUUGAUCCCCGGAGGACCACCAGUGGCGAAGGCUGCUGACUAGAACACGUCUGACGGUCAGGGACGAAAGCUGGGGUAGCGAACCGGAUUAGAGACCCGAGUAGUCC
rnacentral:rRNA from 1 species